rnacentral:rRNA from 1 species
AUUGAACGCUGGCGGCAGGCUUAACACAUGCAAGUCGAGCGAUUGGCGGCCGGGUGAGUAAUGUCUGGGAAACUGCCUGAUGGAGGGGGAUAACUACUGGAAACGGUAGCUAAUACCGCAUACCAUCAGAUGUGCCCAGAUGGGAUUAGCUAGUAGGUGGGGUAAUGGUUCACCUAGGCGACGUUCCCUAGCUGGUCUGAGAGGAUGACGAGGCACACUGGGACGGAGACACGGUCCAGACUCCUACGGGAGGCAGAAGUGGGGAAGAUUGCACAAUGGGCGGAAGCCUGAUGCAGAAAUGCGGCGUGUAUGAAGAAGGCCUUCGGGUUGUAAAGUACUUUCAGCGGGGAGGCGUUACUCGCAGAAGAAGCACCGGCUAACUCCGUGCCAGCAGCCGCGGUAAUAC